rnacentral:rRNA from 1 species
UUCCUACGGGAGGCAGCAGUGGGGAAUUUUGGACAAUGGGCGCAAGCCUGAUCCAGCCAUGCCGCGUGUGGGAAGAAGGCCUUCGGGUUGUAAACCACUUUUGUCAGGGAAGAAACGGCUCUUACUAAUAUUAGGAGCUAAUGACGGUACCUGAAGAAGAAGCACCGGCUAACUACGUGCCAGCAGCCGCGGUAAUACGUAGGGUGCGAGCGUUAAUCGGAAUUACUGGGCGUAAAGCGUGCGCAGGCGGUUUUGUAAGUCAGAUGUGAAAUCCCCGAGCUCAACUUGGGAACUGCGUUUGAAACUACAAGACUAGAAUAUGUCAGAGGGGGGUAGAAUUCCACGUGUAGCAGUGAAAUGCGUAGAGAUGUGGAGGAAUACCAAUGGCGAAGGCAGCCCCCUGGGAUAAUAUUGACGCUCAUGCACGAAAGCGUGGGGAGCAAACAGGAUUAGAUACCCUGGUAGUCCACGCCCUAAACGAUGUCUACUAGUUGUUGGUGGAGUAAAAUCCAUGAGUAACGCAGCUAACGCGUGAAGUAGACCGCCUGGGGAGUACGGUCGCAAGAUUAAAACUCAAAUGAAUUGACGGA